rnacentral:rRNA from 1 species
UGCGUAGGCGGCCGCUUAAGUAGGGUGUGAAAUGUCCCGGCUCAACCGGGGAAUGGCGCUCUAAACUGGGUGGCUCGAGUGAGAUAGAGGUGUGCGGAACUUCCGGUGGAGCGGUGAAAUGUGUUGAUAUCGGAGGGAACACCAUUGGCGAAAGCGGCACACUGGGUCUUAACUGACGCUGAGGCACGAAAGCCAGGGGAGGCAAACG